ensembl:lncRNA
GUCCAUAAACAUUAAGAGACGAAGCAGAAGGACAGACUUCGUUCUUUCUGCAUUUAUUUCCCCAUUAUUCUUUCUUUUUCUUUCCUCCUUACUCCGGUUCUUUCUCUUCUCUCUUUUCCUUCCGUUUAUUUCCUCAUUUAUUCCACGGUCAGUAUUCCCUUUCUCCAUCUUUCCUUCUUUUCCGCCGUGCCAAGCCGCGCUUCCUUUUUCUCUCGAGAUUGACCUCUUUCUAUCGCUCUUUCUUAAUAUAUUCUCUCUCUCCUUCUUUCGCUCAGGCUCUCUUUCAUUACUUCACCGUGUCUUUUUUCCUUUCCUUCAUCGACUUUGUGUCUUUCGUUCGUCCGCUCCCGUUCUUAUUUCCCCUCCGUCCCGGUCAGGUUCUCCGCCGCUUCCUGAUCGAUGUCCUUUCCCAGCGCCACACGUCCGAUGACGCGAAGGGGCCGAGACGUGACGAUGGCUGAACAUCUGGAAAA